UACGUAGGGCGCAAGCGUUAUCCGGAAUUAUUGGGCGUAAAGAGCUCGUAGGCGGUUUGUCGCGUCUGCUGUGAAAGACCGGGGCUCAACUCCGGUUCUGCAGUGGGUACGGGCAGACUAGAGUGCAGUAGGGGAGACUGGAAUUCCUGGUGUAGCGGUGAAAUGCGCAGAUAUCAGGAGGAACACCGGUGGCGAAGGCGGGUCUCUGGGCCGAAUACUGACGUGAGGAGCGAAAGCGUGGGGAGCGAACAGG
rnacentral:rRNA from 1 species